UGAGCAAUCUGCCCUUCUCAUCGGAAUAAGCGUUGGAAACGACGUCUAAUGCCGAAUACGACCUCCUUUCGCAUGAUCGGAGGUGGAAAGCUCCGGCGGAGAAGGAUGAGCUCGCGGCCUAUCAGCUAGUUGGUGUGGGUAACGGCCCACCAAGGCGACGACGGGUAGCCGGCCUGAGAAGGUGACCGGCCACACUGGGACUGAGACACGGCCCAGACUCCUACGAGAGGCAG
rnacentral:rRNA from 1 species